rnacentral:rRNA from 1 species
GAUGAACGCUGGCGGCAUGCCUUACACAUGCAAGUCGAACGGCAGCAUGGAAGAGCUUGCUCUUCUGAUGGCGAGUGGCGAACGGGUGAGUAAAGCAUCGGAACGUACCGUGUAGUGGGGGAUAACGUAGCGAAAGUUACGCUAAUACCGCAUACGCACUGAGGUGGAAAGCAGGGGAUCGCAAGACCUUGCGCUAUACGAGCGGCCGAUGUCAGAUUAGCUAGUUGGUGGGGUAAUGGCCUACCAAGCCGACGAUCCAUAGCUGGUUUGAGAGGAUGAUCAGCCACACUGGGACUGAGACACGGCCCAGACUCCUACGGGAGGCAGCAGUGGGGAAUCUUAGACAAUGGGCGCAAGCCUGAUCUAGCCAUGCCGCGUGAUCGAUGAAGGCCUUAGGGUUGUAAAGAUCUUUCAGUGGGGAAGAUAAUGACUGUACCCACAGAAGAAG